GUCUACGGCCAUACCACCCUGAAAGCGCCCGAUCUAGUUUUAGCUCGGAAGCUAAGCAGGGUCAGGCCUGGUUGGUACUUGGAUGGGAGACGGCCUGGGAAUACCGGGUGGUGUAGGCU
rnacentral:rRNA from 1 species